rnacentral:rRNA from 1 species
AACGAACGCUGGCGGCAUGCCUAACACAUGCAAGUCGAACGAGACGUUCGGGUCUAGGGGCGCACGGGUGCGUAAGGCGUCGGAACCUGCCCUUAGGUUUGGAAUAACUCUCCGAAAGGGGUGCUAAUGCCGGACAGUGUCUUCUGCCCAAAGAUUUUUCGCCCUUGGUUGGUCCCGCGUUGGAUUCGCUAGUUGUUAGGGUAAUAGCCUCCUAAGGCGUCGAUUCAUAGCUGGUUAGAGAGGAUGAUCAGCCACACUGCGAGUGAGACACGGCCUAGACUCCUACGGGAUGCAGCAGAGGGGGAUAUUGGACCGUGGGCGAAGGGCUGAUGCAGCAAUGCCGGGUGAGUGAUGAGAGUCGUAGGGUUGUAAAGCUCUUUUACCCGGGAUGAUAAUGACAGUACCGAAAGAAUAAGCCACGGCUAACUCCGUG